UCUAGUUCCUUAUGCAAAAGCACUGAGUCAGGAAACUUCAUCUGGAAUGCUGAAGUUAAAGGUGAACUUCCUGAAGUCUGCGCGUCUAAAUAUCACAAACAAAAUGGAAAUGACCUUCUAGAGCAGUUUGGUAGGGACUAGAGUAAUAUGGCUGGCUUUCAAGCUGGAAAUGAAUGAAAUCAGGGAUGCAUUUUCUGAAAAACUAAAGGAGAUAAUGUUUGUAACUGAGUGUCC
rnacentral:lncRNA from 1 species